AAGAUACUAAAACUUUCUGGUGGGAGAUACACAAAAGAUGUUAAGUUUCUGCAGUAGCUCUUGUUCGCGCGUGCGAACCCAAACAAAAUGACGUAAGCUUAGAAAGUAGCAAAUUUGUGCGGCGGCGCAGACAGUACAGAAUUUCUGCAGGUUUGACAAGCUGUGGGCAGCACAGAAUGUGAGGAAUGCACAAGUGUUUCAGCACAUCUGCAUAAUCAAUUUAAUCCUCCCAAAUCUUCCCUUAUUUCCUCAGACCUCAAAGCAUUUGAGGAUCUCUUUGGAUUUAGACAGACUACAGGUGUAAACUUAUAAAAGCAACAGAGCAUAAAGGAAGAGCAUCAUGACUUACAUAUACAUACAUGUGUAAACAAAUUUAGAAAAGUUUUUAACAAUGAGAUUUCUGUCUCGUCUGCUGCUAGAGAUCAAGAGAUGACCCAAAGUCACAUGCAGACUUUUAUUAUUAAUGAUUUAUAAUGUUUAAGAAGUUUUGAAAUUAGCACUAAAUAUUUUUAUAUUCAAUAUAAAAAUUUAUAAAAUAAGAAUGGAACCAGUCUGGAAGAAGAGUAACUGCAGAAGUUAUUUUUGAAGUUGGAAAAAAGAAACUUGCUGAGUGCAGGGAGGGCACACACCGGAGGGAUAUCUUUGUUUUUGUAUCUGAGAUUCUCUUCAGUGUGUGUUCUCUCCUCACUUAGUACUCACACCUUCACCAAAGGACUGUAUUUCAAAAUUGACAGUUGCCAGAAUAUGUUUAUUGUGCUCUUCAUUAUCUAAUAUAAAGGUGGUUACUCUGACUAGUGACGUUAAAAUUUAAUAUUAAGCAUUUACCGGUUCCACAAAUUUUUUAUCAUUUACAAAUUCCUCUUAUACUUCACAUGCUGUGUUAAAACUACUCAAACUGAAGAGUAGAAUUGGCUGAAGAAAAUGUAGACGAAAUAAAAUGAAAAUAAGCUUG